rnacentral:rRNA from 1 species
CCUACGGGGGGCAGCAGUGGGGAAUAUUGCGCAAUGGGCGAAAGCCUGACGCAGCGACGCCGCGUGAGGGAUGAAGGUCUUCGGAUCGUAAACCUCUGUCAGCAGGGAAGAACGGUCACUGUGCUAAUCAGCAGUGAAUUGACGGUACCUGCAAAGGAAGCACCGGCUAACUCCGUGCCAGCAGCCGCGGUAAUACGGAGGGUGCGAGCGUUAAUCGGAUUUACUGGGCGUAAAGCGCGCGCAGGCGGUAUGUCAAGUCAAGGGUGAAAUCCCCGGGCUCAACGUGGGAAUUGCAUUUGAAACUGGCAAACUGGAGUGUGUGAGAGGAUAGUGGAAUUCCAGGUGUAGCGGUGAAAUGCGUAGAUAUCUGGAGGAACAGCAGUGGCGAAGGCGACUAUCUGGCACAUAACUGACGCUGAGGAGCGAAAGCGUGGGUAGCAAACAGGAUUAGAUACCCGGGUAGUC